rnacentral:rRNA from 1 species
AGUGAACGCUGGCGGCAGGCCUAACACAUGCAAGUCGAACGGCAGCACAGCAGUAGCAAUACUGUGGGUGGCGAGUGGCGGACGGGUGAGGAAUACAUGGGAAUCUGCCCUGUCGUGGGGGAUAACGUAGGGAAACUUACGCUAAUACCGCAUACGACCGGAAGGUGAAAGCGGCGGACUCGCAAGAGCGUCGCGCGACUGGAUGAGCCCAUGUCGGAUAGCUAGUUGGCGGGGUAAAGGCCCACCAAGGCGACGAUCCGUAGCUGGUCUGAGAGGAUGAUCAGCCACACUGGAACUGAGACACGGUCCAGACUCCUACGGGAGGCAGCAGUGGGGAAUAUUGGACAAUGGGCGCAAGCCUGAUCCAGCCAUGCCGCGUGAGUGAAGAAGGCCUU